GAUCAUCAGGAGAAACCUGAAAAACCUAAAUCCUGGAGCAUUCUACAUGAUUUUCACAAAAUGUGAAAAUAUAUGGAAAUCAUUGUGUUAAUGUAUGUACCUAGGCUUUAACCAACAGAUGACGCUGCAUCAAAGUCCAUGUUCUUGGGAAUUUAGAAUAUGUAAAUUGGAAGAUGCAUGUAAUAUUUUGAAUUAGAUGUUAUCCAAUUACACUGCAUAUAACGCAGUAAAUUACAG